CUGCUCUUGGAAAGUCGUCGGGUUAUUGCUUGCAGCAAAUUGAAACGAAAUAAUAAUUAUUUUUUCUCUGGUAUGGUUUCAGCUUCCAUGAAGAAAAAGGCCACAUAUUGGUAUAAAUUAAAAUUAAAUGAUAUGGGAGACUUCUGAACAGUGAAUGUGAAUGUCCUGCUGGUACGGGACCGCAUGCCACCUGCAAGCACAUAGCGGCUGUUUGUUUGUUUCUUGUACAUUCAAAAGAAAGUGGAGUAUUGUUAAUUGAAGAUUGCUGUACUAGCAAAUUACAGCGGUUCCAUCACCCCAAACGCAAACAUGCAGGACCACCUAUAACAAUUGAGGAUACAUUCAAGCAUGUACGGUCAGCAGAAGUUUCAGGGUACAUGGUAGAUAACCCUCGGCCAAAAAAAUAUAGGAAUUUGCCAGAUGUAUAUAAUGAUUAUGUACGCAAACAAGUGAUAAAUUAUUGUGCUUCGACUGGAGAAAAUAUAACCCUACGCUAUUUGUUUUGAGGGUGCCGAUCUUCUUACUGCUUAAAAAGACCAUGACUACCUUAAACGACCUUUCGUGGAAUAUUGGGUGGAUACCGUAGUAAAGUUGAAUGAAAAAAGGCAAAACGGGUUGAACAAUCUACUCGGCAUCAACACGAAAGCAAAGAAUGGCACGAGCAACGUAAAUUUCGCCUUACUGCAUCACGCUUCGGGGAGAUUGCUGCUAUUACAGACAGGCGCAAUUUAAAUAAGCUUUGCGAAUCUAUGUUGGAUACUAAGCCUCUUGCAAUUCCAGCUGUGUUACAUGGCCAAAAGUUUGAAGCUGUGGCUUUACAUAAAUUUAUGGAAAAUCACAAAAUCCAAGAGUUGAAAAGUGUGGCCUUUUCGUCAAUCCCGACAUACCUUAUUUUGGAGCAUCACCGAAUGGUAUAGUGGGCACUGAUAAAAUUGUUGAAAUUAAAUGCCCAUUCACUGGUAAAUACCAAAAAAUCAAACCAGGUACAACCUUUCUUUUUUUGCAAUACACUGAAAAUUCAACAAUAGUUUUAAAAGAAAACCAUAAAUAUUAUGCUAAAAUCCAGGCUCAACUAGGCAUCACUGGAAGAAAAAUGUGCUAUUUUAUAGUUUACACAUUUAAAGAUAUCUUUGUGCAAAAUAUUCCAUUUGACCCUCAUUUUUAUAGUUACUUGAUGAGAAAACUUCACAAUUUUUGUACUGAACACUGGAUACCAUUUGUUUCCAAAAAACUAUGUGUCAAAACUUAAAAAAGUAACUUGAUUUGUAAAUUGUUAUAAUUUAUUAUGCAGAUAAAAAAUGUAAAUAAAUCAGUCAAGAAAGAUUACAUUUCUAAAUCAUUACUACUUUUUAAUUCUUCUUUACAAUGCAUGAUCUGAAAUUUGAAAUUUGGAAACACACAUAAAUAAUUCUGGAUCCAACAGCAGUCAUUUGUGGUGAAAGGGGGCGUUCAAGGAUUCUGUAUGUUUUCGAGAGACCAAUGAUAUACGCUCAACAUGGAUGCGAUGAGAAGCCACUCUCCUGUCGUGCACUCGUUGUGUAGCCUCUAGCUGAUGCUUUCCUCUAAGCAUUGUAGGUGUAUUAACACAAACGUCAAAUGAUGCAAACAAAUCCUGCACUAAAAUUCCCCGAUCAGCCA